AGGGUUUGAUCAUGGCUCAGGACGAACGCUGGCGGCAUGCCUAACACAUGCAAGUCGAACGAGAAAGUUCCUUCGGGAGCAAUUAAAGUGGCGCACGGGUGAGUAACGCGUAGACAAUCUGCCCUUCAGUCUGGGACAACUUUUCGAAAGGAGAGCUAAUACCGGAUAACAAUGCAUGACACAAGUUGUAUAUUUGAAAGCUUUAUGUGCUGAAGGAGGGGUCUGCGUCCCAUUAGCUAGUUGGUAAGGUAAAGGCUUACCAAGGCAACGAUGGGUAGCGGGUUUGAGAGGACGAUCCGCCACACUGGAACUGAGACACGGUCCAGACUCCUACGGGAGGCAGCAGUGGGGAAUAUUGCACAAUGGAGGAAACUCUGAUGCAGCAAUGUCGCGUGAGUGAAGAAGGCCCUUGGGUCGUAAAGCUCUUUUAUGGGGGAAGAUGAUGACGGUACCCCAAGAAUAAGCACCGGCUAACUAUGUGCCAGCAGCCGCGGUAAUACAUAGGGUGCGAGCGUUGUUCGGAAUUACUGGGCGUAAAGGGCGCGCAGGCGGAAUAGUAAGUCGGAGGUGAAAGCCCGGGGCUCAACCCCGGAGGGUCUUUCGAAACUACUAAUCUAGAGAGGGUCAGGGGCCGGCAGAAUUCCUGGUGUAGAGGUGAAAUUCGUAGAUAUCAGGAGGAAUACCGGUGGCGAA
rnacentral:rRNA from 1 species